rnacentral:rRNA from 1 species
GACGAACGCUGGCGGCGUGCUUAACACAUGCAAGUCGAACGGAAAGGCCCUGCUUUUGUGGUGUGCUCGAGUGGCGAACGGGUGAGUAACGCGUGAGUAACCUGCCCUUGACUUUGGGAUAACUUCAGGAAACUGGGGCUAAUACCGGAUAGGAGCUCCUGCUGCAUGGUGGGGGUUGGAAAGUUUCGGCGGUUUGGGAUGGACUCGCGGCUUAUCAGCUUGUUGGUGGGGUAGUGGCUUACCAAGGCUUUGACGGGUAGCCGGCCUGAGAGGGUGACCGGCCACAUUGGGACUGAGAUACGGCCCAGAGUCCUACGGGAGGCAGCAGUGGGGAAUAUUGCACAAUGGGCGGAAGCCUGAUGCAGCAACGCCGCGUGCGGGAUGACGGCCUUCGGGUUGUAAACCGCUUUCGCCUGUGACGAAGCGUGAGUGACGGUAAUGGGUAAAGAAGCACCGGCUAACUACGUG